UUAAAACUUAAAAUAGACAUUUUCUGAUUUCNAAUGUUGUGGUUACUGGUUAUGAACUUAUGGUACCUUGCUUAUGGUUUCUCAUGUACUNUAGGUGAGAUUAAACACAACAUGGUAGCAGGAGAAGUAAGCGCAUCACAAGGAAUGCGGCAGAGAAGAACAAGGUACAAUUUUUUUCCUCUUCAUGUGUUGAAUUAUGUGCAAAUCAUGAAACCAAAACUAUUGUUCUAAGUCUUGUGGGUGGUUUAUUUUUCAGAAGCCAAGCACUGAACUUGUGAAUGCUGCACUAGUAGCAGCUAAUGUUUGUGUUGGAAAUGUUGUUGCUGCUGUUGUAACAAAGGUGGAUCCAGCUUAGAGGCCACCAGAAAAAAUGUCAAGGCCUUCAUUUCAGUUCUCACAGCUAGAAGCAAGGUAGUUAAUUGUUCCUUUCUUUUUUCUUCUUUGAUUAUCUUCAAUUUUGGAAUUUGAUUUGGGAUUUUGUGUGAUCAUUAAAAUUUAGUUUGGAUCAAGUACAAUGACUUUAAUUUCAAAUGAUCCAUAUGAAGUGUGAUAAUAGUUUUGUUGUUGUUGUUGUUGUUCAUGUGUGGUCUAACAAUAAAAUCUGUCUACCUCACAAGCUGUUGCUGGACUUGCUUAUAAGCUGAAGGAUUUGGUAGUGAACAUUGAUUCAACUGACAUGGACAAUGAAUUGGCUGCAACUGAGUACAUUGAUGAUAUCUAUAACUUUUACAAACUCACUAAAGUAAUGCUACUUUGUGUUCUUUCUUUAUAUCACUAUCUUCUUUUAUCACUGCACUUAUUUCUCUAAUGUAUGCUUACAAACAAUUAUGCAAUUAGGUGAUGGCCUGGACUUUGUGUUUUUAUGUAGCAACAGAUGGUUAUAUAUAUGUGCUAAUUACUGGUGACUGCUGUGCUUGUGUCUUCAGACCAAAGAGCUACAAAUAUUUUUGCUUUCCACUUUAGCCUACAAGUUUUGACUUGGUUGUACAUUUUGCUGCUGCUGCUGCUUGCUGCUUCAUCCGAAUUGGUUGAAGAGUUUCUCUAUACAGAAAAAACCUUUCACUUAAAGAGAUAUAAAUUGUCUCUAACAAGGUGACACUCACUGCCUUCGCACUGCUAUGGAAAGUAACUGGGAUCUGUUUGGAAUAUGGCUAAGAGUUUAUGUUGAAUUGAUUUCUCUAACAAGGUGACACUCACUGCUUUCAUUCACCCUAUGCGGGGAAUAUUCAUGAAGUGCAUUUCUUGGAAUAUUCAUGAAGUGUUGUGCUAGUCUCAACUGAACAGCGACAAGGUCUGCAAUCGGUGUGGCUUGCCGCUGUGGAACAUAAGGAAUAUGAUCAUCUUCAAGGAAGGGCAUUUGGAUGGGGAACGAGUUGUGGAGAUAGCACUGUUAAGGGCAUGGAACUGGUUAAGAGCGA
rnacentral:lncRNA from 1 species